rnacentral:rRNA from 1 species
AGCAGCCGCGGUAAUUCCAGCUCCAAUAGCGUAUAUUAAAGUUGUUGCAGUUAAAAAGCUCGUAGUUGAAUUUCGGGGUUAGCAGGCCGGUCGUGCCAUCGGUAUGAACUGGUCUCGCUGAUCCCUCCCUCUUGACGAACUGUGAUGCCAUUAAUUUGGUGUCGCAGGGAAUCAGGACUGUUACUUUGAAAAAUUAGAGUGUUUAAAGCAGGCUCACGCUUGAAUACAUUAGCAUGGAAUAAUGAAAUAGGACGUUUGAUCCUAUUUUGUUGGCUUCUAGGAUUGACGUAAUGAUUAAUAGGGAUAGUUGGGGCAUUAGUAUUCAAUUGUCAGAGGUGAAAUUCUUGGAUUUAUUGAAGACUAACUACUGCGAAAGCAUUUGCCAAGGAUAGUUUUUAUUAAUCAAGAACGAAAGUUAGGGGAUCGAAGACGAUCAGAUACCGUCGUAGUCUUAACCAAUAAACUAUGCCGACUAGGGAUCGGAUGA